UACGUAGGGUGCAAGCGUUAAUCGGAAUUACUGGGCGUAAAGCGUGCGCAGGCGGCUCGGAAAGAUAGAUGUGAAAUCCCAGGGCUUAACCUUGGAAUGGCAUUUUUAACUCCCGAGCUAGAGUAUGUCAGAGGGGGGUAGAAUUCCACGUGUAGCAGUGAAAUGCGUAGAGAUGUGGAGGAAUACCGAUGGCGAAGGCAGCCCCCUGGGAUAAUACUGACGCUCAGGCACGAAAGCGUGGGGAGCAAACAGG
rnacentral:rRNA from 1 species